rnacentral:misc_RNA from 1 species
CGCACAUUGCGCCCGCCAGCAUUCUGGCGGGCAUGCCUGUUCGAGCGUCAUUUCAACCCUCGCGCCCAUCCGGGCUGCGGUGUUGGGGACCGGCACAACUCGCCCUCCGGGGCGGGCGCCGCCCCCCAAAUACAGUGGCGGUCUCGCUGCAGCCUCCCUUGCGUAGUAGCACAUCUCGCAUUGGAGCGCGGCGCGGCCACGCCGUAAAACCCCCGACCCCCUUGAGUUUGACCUCGGAUCAGGUAGGAAUACCCGCUGAACUUAA